AAUUCCUUGUCGGGUAAGUUCCGACCUGCACGAAUGGCGUAACGACUUCCCCACUGUCUCCAGCAUAGACUCAGCGAAAUUGAAUUCUCCGUGAAGAUGCGGAGUUCCCGCGGUCAGACGGAAAGACCCCGUGCACCUUUACUACAGCUUCAGAGUGGCAUUAGGGAUAACAUGUGUAGGAUAGGUGGGAGGCUUUGAAGCCCGCACGCCAGUGCGAGUGGAGCCAUCCUUGAAAUACCACCCUUGUUGUCUCUGAUGUCUAACCACGUCCCGUGAAACCGGGACUGGGACCCUCUGUGGUGGGUAGUUUGACUGGGGCGGUCGCCUCCCAAAAGGUAACGGAGGCGCCCAAAGGUUCCCUCAGCCUGGUUGGCAAUCAGGUGUUGAGUGUAAGUGCACAAGGGAGCUUGACUGUGAGAGGGACACCUCGAGCAGGGACGAAAGUCGGGACUAGUGAUCCGGCGGCUCGUUGUGGAACGGCCGUCGCUCAACGGAUAAAAGGUACCUCGGGGAUAACAGGCUGAUCUUGCCCAAGAGUCCAUAUCGACGG
rnacentral:rRNA from 1 species